rnacentral:rRNA from 1 species
UACAGAGGUCUCAAGCGUUGUUCGGAUUCAUUGGGCGUAAAGGGUGCGUAGGCGGCGCGGUAAGUCGGGGUGUGAAAUCUUGGAGCUUAACUCCGAAACUGCAUUCGAUACUGCCGUGCUUGAGGACUGGAGAGGAGACUGGAAUUUACGGUGUAGCGGUGAAAUGCGUAGAUAUCGUAAGGAAGACCAGUGGCGAAGGCGGGUCUCUGGACAGUUCCGUGAGCCGCUGAGGCACGAAGGCCAGGGGAGCAAACGGG